UAGACUGGCUGGGAUCCUGGAUCCAUGGCUUCUCCUGUCUCUCCUACAUAGUCUAGGAUUGCAGGCAUUUGCCAGAACACUAAGAGUACAAAUUAUUUUGUGAAGAGAAACUAGUCUGUCAAAUGAUCCUGUGACAUUGCCAUAGCCAUACACAUUCCCAUCAGCCAUCCAGUUCCUCCCAUCUCUGCCAGCAUUUAGUGUUGACGGUGGUCUUUCAGCUCCUUUGAAGACAACUAGUUUUUUCACACUGGAAUUCCCCUGCUGGCUAACAUAAAUUCGUAGAUUUCAUGGUUAAAGGAGCCUGAGAUGCGACGCUGCUUGCCUGCACUUAGUCCUGCCACUUCUUAUCGGACCAUCUGCUGUCACCUCAAAAAGCCAAGACUGUAUAAUCUCGGAGAUGCCAAUUGCCAGGAAGCCAUAUUGGCAGGAUCCUUGAAGACCUGAGGCUUUCAGCUCAGAGGUCCAUACAGAGAGUCUGGAAUAAAAUCUACACGGGGCAACUUCAGUUGAGCCUGGACUCCCUAGCAACAGUUUGUCUGCUGCAGUGUGCUCAGAGACACUGGUCAGACAUACCUGCUUGCUCAGCCCCAAAAGACAUGAGAUAAAUGUUUGUUGUCUCUAAUACUUUCAAUUUGCAUUACUCUCAUUUCUAAUGAUAUUUCCACAUGCU